rnacentral:rRNA from 1 species
UACGAAGGGGGCUAGCGUUGUUCGGAAUUACUGGGCGUAAAGGGCUCGUAGGCGGCCAACUAAGUCGGACGUGAAAUCCCCAGGCUCAACCUGGGAACUGCGUCCGAUACUGGAUGGCUUGAAUUCGGGAGAGGGAUGCAGAAUUCCAGGUGUAGCGGUGAAAUGCGUAGAUAUCUGGAGGAAUACCGGUGGCGAAGGCGGCAUCCUGGACCGACAUUGACGCUGAUGAGCGAAAGCUAGGGGAGCAAACGGG